UACGGAGGGUGCAAGCGUUGCUCGGAAUUAUUGGGCGUAAAGGGGAGGUAGGUGGUCCCGCAUGUCUGGGGUGAAAUCCCUGAGCUUAACUCAGGAAGGUCCUCAGAAACGGCGGGACUAGAGUGCUGGAGAGGCUAGCGGAAUUCCCGGUGUAGCGGUGAAAUGCGUAGAGAUCGGGAGGAACACCAGAGGCGAAGGCGGCUAGCUGGACAGUAACUGACACUGAACUCCGAAAGCGUGGGUAGCAAACAGG
rnacentral:misc_RNA from 1 species